GAGUUUGAUCCUGGCUCAGGAUGAACGCUAGCGGCAGGCUUAACACAUGCAAGUCGAGGGGUAGCAGGGAGCUUGCUCCGCUGACGACCGGCGAACGGGUGCGUAACGCGUAUAGAAUCUACCUCUUACUAAGGGAUAGCCCAGAGAAAUUUGGAUUAAUAUCUUAUAGUAUGUUAACUUGGCAUCAAGAUAACAUUAAAGGUUACGGUAAGAGAUGACUAUGCGUCCUAUUAGCUAGAUGGUGUGGUAACGGCACACCAUGGCAACGAUAGGUAGGGGCCCUGAGAGGGGGAUCCCCCACACUGGUACUGAGACACGGACCAGACUCCUACGGGAGGCAGCAGUGAGGAAUAUUGACAAUGGAGGCAACUCUGAUCCAGCCAUGCCGCGUGCAGGAAGACUGCCCUAUGGGUUGUAAACUGCUUUUAUACAGGAAGAAACACUCUCACGUGUGAGAGCUUGACGGUACUGUAAGAAUAAGGAUCGGCUAACUCCGUGCCAGCAGCCGCGGUAAUACGGAGGAUCCAAGCGUUAUCCGGAAUCAUUGGGUUUAAAGGGUCCGUAGGUGGAUAAUUAAGUCAGAGGUGAAAUCCUGCAGCUCAACUGUAGAAUUGCCUUUGAUACUGGUUGUCUUGAGUUAUUAUGAAGUAGUUAGAAUAUGUAGUGUAGCGGUGAAAUGCAUAGAUAUUACAUAGAAUACCAAUUGCGAAGGCAGAUUACUAAUAAUAUACUGACACUGAUGGACGAAAGCGUGGGGAGCGAACAGGAUUAGAUACCCUGGUAGUCCACGCCGUAAACGAUGGUCACUAGCUGUUCGAACUUCGGUUUGAGUGGCUAAGCGAAAGUGAUAAGUGACCCACCUGGGGAGUACGUUCGCAAGAAUGAAACUCAAAGGAAUUGACGG
rnacentral:rRNA from 1 species